AGCUUUGCGCAGUAGCAGUAUCCUUGCCAAUGAGGUUUAUCUGAGGCAAGAUUAUUGCUAAUUAAAAUAAAACUUGUGACACUUUCUGCUUACUUAAUGGUCAGUUUCUCUUCAGUAUUGUAGGAUCCUAGAGGGU
rnacentral:snRNA from 1 species